rnacentral:rRNA from 1 species
GAGUUUGAUCGUGGCUCAGGACGAACGCUGGCGGCGUGCUUAACACAUGCAAGUCACGGGGGCCCGCAAGGGCAACCGGCGAACGGGUGCGUAACACGUGAGCAAGCUUCCGAUUUGUGGGGGAUAGCCGGCCUAACGGCCGGGUAAUACCGCAUACGUUCACUGGGCGGCAUCGUCUGGUGAGGAAACCUCCGGGGCAAAUCGAGGCGCUCGCGGCCUAUCAGCUAGUUGGCGGGGUAAUGGCCCACCAAGGCGACGACGGGUAGCUGGUCUGAGAGGAUGGCCAGCCACAUUGGGACUGCGACACGGCCCAGACUCCUACGGGAGGCAGCAGUGGGGAAUAUUGCGCAAUGGACGAAAGUCUGACGCAGCGACGCCGCGUGUGGGAUGAAGCUCUUCGGGGUGUAAACCACUGUUGCCCGGGACGAAAUGCCCUUUUCGAGGGAAUUGACGGUACCGGGGUGAGGAAGCACCGGCUAACUCUGUGCCAGCCGCCGCCGUAAC